UACAGAGGGGGCAAGCGUUGUUCGGAAUUAUUGGGCGUAAAGAGUGCGUAGGCGGUGCGGUAAGUCUUCUGUGAAAUCUCCGGGCUCAACUCGGAGCCUGCAGGAGAAACUGCCGUGCUUGAGUAUGGGAGAGGUGAGUGGAAUUCCUGGUGUAGCGGUGAAAUGCGUAGAUAUCAGGAGGAACACCUGUGGCGAAAGCGGCUCACUGGACCAUAACUGACGCUGAGGCACGAAAGCUAGGGGAGCAAACAGG
rnacentral:rRNA from 1 species